rnacentral:rRNA from 1 species
CCAGGUCGUUAAGGGCAUAUGGUGGAUGUCUUGGCGUUGAGAGGCGAUGAAGGACGUAGGAACUUGCGAUAAGUCUAAGGGAGCUGGUAACCGAGCUAUGAUCUAAGAAUCUCCGAAUGGGGAAACCCAAUCUGUUAUGCAGAUUACCCAUACCCGAAUGCAUACGGUAUGGGGGCGAACGCAGCGAACUGAAACAUCUCAGUAGCUGUAGGAAAGGAAAGUAAAAACGACUCCGUAAGUAGCGGCGAGCGAAAGCGGACAAGCCCGGUGUGAAUUUAUGUUUGUAAUACCUUGAAGUACCUGGAAAGGUACACCAGAGAAGGUGAUAGUCCUGUACGGGAACGACGGCAUAAUGAAGCAUCCUAGUGAGUAGCACGGAGCUCGUGAAACUCUGUGUGAAUAUAACGGGGUCCACCCCGUAAGGCUAAGUACUCCUCAACGACCGAUAGUGAAUCAGUAAGGUGACUGAAUGAUGAAAAGCACCCCGAUAAGGGGCGUGAAA